UGGGGAAUUUUGGGACAAUGGGGGGAAACCCUGAUCCAGCCAUCCCGCGUGUGCGAUGAAGGCCUUCGGGUUGUAAAGCACUUUUGGCAGGAAAGAAACGUCGCGGGUUAAUACCCCGCGAAACUGACGGUACCUGCAGAAUAAGCACCGGCUAACUACGUGCCAGCAGCCGCGGUAAUACGUAGGGUGCAAGCGUUAAUCGGAAUUACUGGGCGUAAAGCGUGCGCAGGCGGUUCGGAAAGAAAGAUGUGAAAUCCCAGAGCUUAACUUUGGAACUGCAUUUUUAACUACCGGGCUAGAGUGUGUCAGAGGGAGGUGGAAUUCCGCGUGUAGCAGUGAAAUGCGUAGAUAUGCGGAGGAACACCGAUGGCGAAGGCAGCCUCCUGGGAUAACACUGACGCUCAUGCACGAAAGCGUGGGGAGCAAACAGGAUUAGAUACCCUGGUAGUCCACGCCCUAAACGAUGUCAACUAGCUGUUGGGGCCUUCGGGCCUUGGUAGCGCAGCUAACGCGUGAAGUUGACCGCCUGGGGAGUACGGUCGCAAGAUUAAAACUCAAAUGAAUUGACGGGGGUCAUAGCUG
rnacentral:rRNA from 1 species